UCGUUGGCUCUGAUUACAUUUUGGGGGAGUCCAGAGUUAUAUCUGAUUCCUUAAUUCAGUUUUGCACUGUAGAACCAACAUGAUGAAAUCGAAGCAAAGUUCUUCGAGGAGAGUCAGAGAGCAGCACUAGAAGCUAAAUAUCAGAAAUUGUAUCAGCCUUUCUAUACCAAGCGAUAUGAGAUUGUCACUGGUGUGGUUGAAGUUGAAGGUGCACCAGAAGAAGUGAAAACAGAAAAAUGAGAAGACAAAACUGCUGAAGAUACCUGAGAUGAAGGUGCUCUUAAGUAUCUUAAGGAUAUCAAGUGGAACAGCGUUGAAGAACCAAACGGGUUUUUAAGCUCGAGUUUUUCUUUGAUGAGAACCCUUACUUCAAGAACACAGUCUUGACCAAGACAUAUCACAUGAUAUGAAGAUGAGCCUAUCCUCGAGAAGGCCAUUGGAUAUGAUCUUUUGAUUUUAUCAUGCAUUUACUGUUUUAUGGUUCUCUAGAAGUCUUAUUGAUCUUUUAAGUAUUAUCCAGGACGGAGAUUGAGUGGUUUCCUGGAAAGUGUUUGACUCGGAGGAUCCUUAAAAAGAAGCCAAAUAAGGGAUCCAAAAACACAAAGCCGAUCACUAAGACUGAGGACUGUGAGAGUUUCUUCACCUUUUUAAGUCCACCUCAAGUUUCUGAUGACGAAGAGGAUCUUGAUGAUGACAUGGU